rnacentral:tRNA from 1 species
GCUUUUAUAAUUUAUAAAAAAUAUUGGUCUUGUAAACCAACAAUAAGAUUAAAAUCUUUUUAAGCU